rnacentral:tRNA from 1 species
GGGCACGUCAGUAGUCUGAAUCUUUAUCCUUACCAAAUAAAGAUCGUGGGUUCGAUCCCCAUCGUGUCCA